UUGCAGUCUCUGGCUCUCACCACAAGACUACACUGCCUCUUUUCCUCUCCAGUGACUCUUGCAUUUUCCUUUCUUCUUGUGCUUUCUCCUCACCCCAAUGAGCUCUAAGAGGAGGGAGCUAAUAAUACAGUGCCUUCCCCUGGUUUGGGGGGCUCUUUGGAGACAGCGUAUGUUGUAGCGCCUGAGGCCAAGCCUUUUAUUUUGUUCCGGUGGUGGGCGAGGUAGGGAUUCGUCUUUUCCGUUUUGCUUCCAUAAUUUUUUUCUCCA
rnacentral:lncRNA from 1 species